CCACUCCCCCCAAAAAAAUUUCGUUGGAAAUUUACAUUACUGAUACUCCGACUUCAGACGCUCCUGAACGCAACCUCGUUGUCCGACUGCUCAUGAAUGCACCACUGACUGUUAGUUUGAUCUCUUGAUUGCAUUUCUUUUGGGUUUGAAGAAGCUUUGAAGACGUUUCCUGAUGCCGGAGGACAAGACGAGCAGCUUUGUACCUUUGCGGACGAAGACACAGUGAUAUGAGGAGUGACCAACCUACUCGAGCACCAGGGAGGAUGAUGGACAGCAGAUCCUAACGCAGUAACUUUGUCUGCUGGGCAGUUGUUCUGGUUCCUCACAGAGCACCUGGUCAUCUGAGAGCGGCGAAUGGAUUCAUUAUUAGUCUGAGUAUUUUUACUAUUAGUAACAAAAAAGCGUAAAAAGCAGACAUCUAAUUACAUAUUUCCUUCCACAGGGAAAAUUUCCAGCAUAAUCUGUACAAAGUAAAAACACCUCUUGGUACUCACAUAAGUCAUGUGCAUCAGAAAAUAGAAGUGAUACAGUGAUUUUUUUGCUCCCACAUUUAGAAAAAGCUUGAUAUUUUGGAAAGAUGCUCAUGCUUAUUUGCUUUUAGAUGAGAGGACUGAUACCACUCUCAUUGCUAAAUAUGAUACUACUGUCGGUAGGCUUAGCUUAGCAUAUAGACUGUUAGCAGGAGGAACUGUUGGUCAGGAUGAGCAAAUUUCACUCCACAUGAUAAUUUUUAGGGAUAGGGUUAACCCCAACAGAUGCAGGAGGAGGGCCACCUCCAUCCUGAAGGACUUCACCCACCCUGCACACAAACACUUCAACCUUCUCUCUUCAGGGAGCAGCAUCCGGACUAGAACCACAAGACUAAGAAACAGCUUCUUCCCCGAAGCUGUCAGGCUGUUGAACUGUAGCAGGUCUCUGUAGACUCUGUUUUCGUGUCAUCACCACCUCUCCCCUCAAACACACAUGCAUGCUCACAUGCAUUAACAUGCACACACACAUGCACACAUGCAAACAGGCACACACAUUCAUACACACACUGCACUGCUGCACUAGGCUCUUUAUCUAUCUAUGGUCAACCACUUCGGAGCCAAAGCUCCUGUCUGUGUUGCACUAACUGAUGGUCUCAUUGCACAUCUAUUUAUGUUGUCGGUUGUAUAUAUUAGGAGUGUCUUUUUAUACUUAUAUUGUCUUUUAUGGAAGUGUUUUAUAUUGUCUUUAUGGCUGAAACCCGGACCAGGGUCCAAUUACGAAUUGUUUCAUGUGCAAAUGUGAAAUGAUAUGACAAUAAAGAACCUUUGACCUUUGA